UACAGAGGGUGCGAGCGUUAAUCGGAAUUACUGGGCGUAAAGCGCGCGUAGGCAGCUUUGCAAGUCGGGUGUGAAAUCCCCAGGCUUAACCUGGGAACUGCAUUCGAGACUGCAUUGCUAGAGUAUGGGAGAGGGAAGUGGAAUUUCAGGUGUAGCGGUGAAAUGCGUAGAUAUCUGAAGGAACAUCAGUGGCGAAAAGCGACUUCCUGGACCAAUACUGACGCUCAUGUGCGAAAGCGUGGGGAGCAAACAGGG
rnacentral:rRNA from 1 species